AUGCAGCUAGUUACGGGUGGGCACACGGUGGUGGUGGUUAAUGGUCAGACUAGUAACUUCUUUGCUAAUGGUAGGGGCCUAAGGCAAGGAGAUCCGGCGCCCCCUCUGCUUUUUAACUUCAUUGCGGAUGCCCUGUCCCAUAUCCUUUCGCGGGCGGUUGAUGCCGGUCACAUUACGCCUGUUAGCUCCCACCUUAUCCCCAAUUGCAUUACUCACCUUCAAUAUGCGGACGAUACCAUUAUUAUGGUGGAAUUGAAUGAGACCUGCCUCACGAACCUGAAGUUUAUCCUCUUAUGUUUCGAAGCGCUUUCGGGGCUUAAAAUUAAUUUCUCUAAGAGUGAAGUGAUUGUAACUGGGGUUCAUACUAUGGAAGCACAUAGAGUGGCGCACCUCCUGAACUGCUCUCUAGGUUCCUACCCUCUCAAAUAUUUAGGCUUACCAAUUUCUCCUCUCAAACUUUUGGCAAAAGACUUCGCUCCGGUAGUGACUAAGGUU
rnacentral:rRNA from 1 species